rnacentral:pre_miRNA from 1 species
UUUUUAGUAAAAGUAUUUUCCACACAAUAUUUGGGAUAUACUUAUGCUAAAA